AGCUCCUUCGUUCUCCUCUCAUUGGUCGAUUUCUGAACUUCCGCCAUAUUCAAAAACACGAACCUCUGCUAGUGAUGUAGAUUAGUAGAAUAUAUGUAAUGUUAUUGUUCUGAGUUAUUCAGUAGCACGUAGUUAAACAAUAACCGGGUAGUUUAUAACAUUUAAAAUGAGUGAACCCGCCGAAGCUCCCUGUUUCUACUUCAGAGAAACUAAAAAGACAAGCGAGCUCCAGGAUCCUGAGCAGGAAGUUUUCCCUGGAUGAAGGAGAGUCUCCCCUGGAGAACAACAACAACAGUCUGAGACGGUCACUGCGAAGAGGAAGCUCCUUCACCUUCCUCACCCCAGGACCACAAUGGGACUUCAGUCUGAAGAGGAGACACAGAGGGAAGGAUGGCGGCGGCGACG
rnacentral:lncRNA from 1 species